ACGGGGUGCAGCAGGCGCGAAAACUUUGCAAUGUGCGAAAGCACGACAAGGUUAAUCCGAGUGUUUCCUGCUAAAGGAAUCUUUUGUUAGUCGUAAAACCACUAUCGAAUAAGGGGUGGGCAAGUUCUGGUGUCAGCCGCCGCGGUAAAACCAGCACCUCAAGUGGUCAGGAGGGUUAUUGGGCCUAAAGCAUCCGUAGCCUGCUUUGUAAGUUUUCGGUUAAAUCCAUAUGCUCAACAUAUGGGCUGCCGGAAAUACUGCAUAGCUAGGGAGUGGGAGAGGUAGACGGUACUCCGUAGGAAGGGGUAAAAUCCUUUGAUCUAUGGAUGACCACCUGUGGCGAAGGCGGUCUACCAGAACACGUCCGACGGUGAGGGAUGAAAGCUGGGGGAGCAAACCGGAUUAGAUACCCGGGUAGUCCCAGCUGUAAACUAUGCAAACUCAGUGAUGCAUUGGCUUGUGGCCAAUGCAGUGCCGCAGAGAAGUCGUUAAGUUUGCCGCCUGGGAAGUACGUACGCAAGUAUGAAACUUAAAGGAAUUGGCGGGGGAGCACCACAAGGGGUGAAGCCUGCGGUUCAAUUGGAGUCAACGCCGGA
rnacentral:rRNA from 1 species